rnacentral:rRNA from 1 species
GACGAACGCUGGCGGCGUGCUUAACACAUGCAAGUCGAACGGAAAGGCCCUGCUUUUGUGGGGGGCUCGAGUGGCGAACGGGUGUGUAACACGUGAGUAACCUGCCCUUGACUUUGGGAUAACUUCAGGAAACUGGGGCUAAUACCGGAUAGGAGCUCCUGCUGCAUGGUGGGGGUUGGAAAGUUUCGGCGGUUGGGGAUGGACUCGCGGCUUAUCAGCUUGUUGGUGGGGUAGUGGCUUACCAAGGCUUUGACGGGUAGCCGGCCUGAGAGGGUGACCGGCCACAUUGGGACUGAGAUACGGCCCAGACUCCUACGGGAGGCAGCAGUGGGGAAUAUUGCACAAUGGGCGGAAGCCUGAUGCAGCAACGCCGCGUGCGGGAUGACGGCCUUCGGGUUGUAAACCGCUUUCGGCUGGGACGAAGCGUGAGUGACGGUAAUGGGUGAAGAAGCACCGGCUAACUACGUG